rnacentral:rRNA from 1 species
AUAUCAAUAAGCGGAGGAAAAGAAACUAACAAGGAUUCCCCUAGUAACUGCGAGUGAAGCGGGAAAAGCUCAAAUUUAAAAUCUGGCGGUUUUACCGUCCGAGUUGUAAUCUAGAGAAGUGUUAUCCGCGUUGGACCGUGUACAAGUCUCCUGGAAUGGAGCGUCAUAGAGGGUGAGAAUCCCGUCUUUGACACGGACUACCAAAGCUUUGUGAUGCGCUCUCAAAGAGUCGAGUUGUUUGGGAAUGCAGCUCAAAAUGGGUGGUAAAUUCCAUCUAAAGCUAAAUAUUGGCGAGAGACCGAUAGCGAACAAGUACCGUGAGGGAAAGAUGAAAAGAACUUUGGAAAGAGAGUUAAACAGUACGUGAAAUUGCUGAAAGGGAAACGCUUGAAGUCAGUCACGUUUAUUAGAAAUCAACCUUGCUUUUGCUGGGUGUACUUUCUAGUUAACGGGUCAGCAUCAAUUUUGAUUGUUGGAUAAAGGUUAGGGGAAUGUGGCAUCCUCGGAUGUGUUAUAGCCCUUGGUUGCAUACAACGGUUGGGAUUGAGGAACUCAGCACGCCGCAAGGCCGGGUACUUGUACCACGUUCGUGCUUAGGAUGCUGGCAUAAUGGCUUUAAUCGACCCGUCUUGAAACACGGACCAAGGAGUCUAACAUGCCUGCGAGUGUUUGGGUGGAAAACCCGAGCGCGUAAUGAAAGUGAAAGUUGAGAUCCCUGUCGUGGGGAGCAUCGACGCCCGGACCAGACCUUUUGUGACGGUUCCGCGGUAGAGCAUGUAUGUUGGGACCCGAAAGAUGGUGAACUAUGCCUGAAUAGGGUGAAGCCAGAGGAAACUCUGGUGGAGGCUCGUAGCGAUUCUGACGUGCAAAUCGAUCGUCAAAUUUGGGUAUAGGGGCGAAAGACUAAU